AUCACAAUGACAAUGACAUUGCAGUUUAUACCUGUUCAUGUCAUGUUGACCUGACUUCAGGGCCCAGGUUUCCAUAUACAAGAAACUUCUACAAUGUUGCUCACCACAUGGAAGAAAUGUUUCAAAAAGGUUGGGAAUAGGUCAGGCAUAAUGAGCCUGUGCAACUUUCCAGGGUGGAUCAAAGGGUUAUCUGCCCUUUCUCUAUCUGGCACUGGGGACAGAAGGAAGAAAGACGAUUCUGAUGUCAGCAUAACCUUCCAGUGACACUCAAAGCUUCCUUCUCGCUUCUUGGGGGAAAAACAUAUUUCUGUAUGGCCUCCUACAGGGAGCUAUGCUGAGCCCUUGUUUUUCAAAUACAAUCACAAUCAAUGUCCUAGUCCUGUUG